AACACAGGUGCUGCAUGGCUGUCGUCAGCUCGUGUCGUGAGAUGUUGGGUUAAGUCCCGCAACGAGCGCAACCCUUGUCCUUAGUUGCCAUCAUUCAGUUGGGAACUCUAAGGAGACCGCCGGUGNCAAACCGGAGGAAGGUGGGGAUGACGUCAAGUCAUCAUGGCCUUUAUGGCCAGGGCUACACACGUGCUACAAUGGCAAGUACAGAGGGAAGCCAACCGGCGACGGGGAGCUAAUCCCAGAAAACUUGUCUUAGUCCGGAUUGGAGUCUGCAACUCGACUCCAUGAAGUUGGAAUCGCUAGUAAUCGCGGAUCAGCAUUGCUGCGGUGAAUACGUUCCCGGGUCUUGUACACACCGCCCGUCACACCAUGGGAGUUGAUUGCACCAGAAGCAGGUAGCCUGACCGCAAGGAGGGCGCUUACCACGGU
rnacentral:rRNA from 1 species